CACGUGUUUAUUUGGUUUUAGGCAAAGUAGUAAAAAUAAGUUUAAGCUGAUCGUUUGAAACUUGAAAAUCUAAAAAAUCAUUUACCGAAAAGGGCUUCAAAUGAAUAUUCACAGAAAUAUAUUUUUUACAGAGUUAGGGCGCGAAGGAUCACCUUUGAACUUAAGGGUGAAAUUUCCCAAUACCGCUUGAAUCACCUGUGUUUAGAUCAUUCUGUCAGGUCAAUCUGUACAUAUAUAUUUAUAUUUAUUUUUCGAUAUAUCAUCAAUAAGUCUCAAACUCAAAGGGGGCGAAAUAUUUAUGGACACCAAUUAGGGGCUUAAAGUUCGUGUCCUUUUGGAAAGCAUUCCGCAGAUGUGAGGCACUGAAACAAUUUGUAAUCCGUUGUGUUAACAAUGUGACCCAUAAAUUUCCAUUGACCUCUAUACCCCCGUAAGACUAUCAGUGUGCCCAGUCGUCGUCAGAGGCCCAACAGUCUCCCGCCCUGCAGCGAGUGAAUUAUGCAAGUGGCGCGAUAAAAGCAAAGCCCGGCAAACUAAAUUUAUUGAUGCCAAGCGUUCAUUAGCAUCCAAAUGGGAAGGCCGCCAACUUGAAGUCGGAGAUGGAGCCGUACGCGAAUGAGAACGCGAACGAACUCAUUAAUAGCUCGAGACCCAGGCACAGCUAUUGCCACAGCCGCAGCCACAGCCACAGCCUCAGUCAUGCUCUCGACUGACAGCCCGGUCAAUGGGCGGGCCAUGGCGCUGAAUAAAUAACAAAGUGACAACCACAAAAAACAACCGCGCCGGUGAUGGAACAAAGCUUGACGCUAGAAACAGAACUUGGUGGAGAGGCGACAGCGACAGUCGCAGCAACGAGGGGAAGAACAACGGUAGUGGCAACAGUAACAGCAACAGCAAGACAAGAAAAAGUCCAAUAAUUGAGCUCACAAAUCACAGGACGGAGCAGGAGUCGCAGUCGGAGGCGUAUGUGGACCCAAAGCCAAAGCAUCAGCGCACCAAUGAACACGAACCAAGUAAAUUGAGAUUCUUUAAAUUUAUGCACAUAUUUUUUUCAGCAUCAGCCAGCGACUGUCGAACUCCAAAGUACAUGGAGCCACUUAAGCUCCUCGCUCUUAGCCCCAUUCUCACCGUCUGAGCCUCGGGUCGGCUCUCAAAGAACACCAGACGACUGCAGCAAAUCUGCAAACCACCCGACAACAGGCGCCCUCGAUAGCGCAGUUGGUUGGCUCUGGCUGGUUGGCCAUUUAGAUUGUUAGCCAGCUGGAUGCCGAUGUGGAUGUAGAUGUGUACAUGCAGUAUAUAUUGAUGGACCACAGCAAAUUGGCUGCUCGGUGCCUAUUACUGUGGGACAAAUGCGGCAAAAUAAUUUUAGUACCAUUUUUUUUUAAAUAUUAAAGGUACAACCCCUA